rnacentral:lncRNA from 1 species
GCAGUAGACUGGAAUAAUAUAUAAAUAAAGAUACCAAUGCCAAUCAAUACAUAAACUACCCAAGACUGGUGUCACAAAUCCACAGAUUGUCUAAGAAUACUACAAAUAAAGGUCCGAAGGAUUUAUUACAGCAUUGUUUUGAAAGUACAUAAAAGAAACAGAAUAAAAGGGAGAAGACGCCAAGGCCUGCGUACGGCUGCAGGACUACCUCAGAAUAUCCGAAUGGAUUGAAAGCAGUCACCCAAAGCUACAGUGUGUAUGCUCCAUUACCAGGAUCUGCAUACAAUGCAGAGUGUAGUAUCAACACAAGUGACCUCAUGUGUUUGUAAGUGCCUAUUUACUCUCGUCUUCACCAUGAGAAUCAAUAUAAUUGGCAUGGAAGUCAAUACCGUGCGGCAAAGCAUCACCCUUCGUGCUUUUACACUCUUCUUCACAAAAUCAUACACUAAUACUCUCUCACCAAAAUAAUGCACGGCAUCACCCUUUGGGCUUUAACACUCUUCUUUAUCGAAACAACAAUCACAAAAUAAUAAGGGCGAGGGAAUCAUCAAAUUUAUACUUAAAUCCUGGCAAGGGAACAAUAAUACAACAAUCAUAUCCCGAUAAGGGAGAUAAUAUCAAAAUAAUAACAUCCUGACAAUGGAGAUAACAUUAGCAAUAAUAUCCCAACAAGGGAGACAAUAUCAUAAUCCUCUUUUCUUUUUUACAUUUACUUCACAACUUGUUUCACAAUUUGAGCCAAUGAUCUAUAAGGUUUAUUUGCCAAUUGCACUUCCACAAUCACUUUACAAUUUGAGCCACUGCUCUUCAAUGUUCAAAUACCUAUAUUUCUUCCACGUGCCUUACUCAACAAUAGCAAUCAUCACAAUAAACAUGAGCAAUACAAAUGGGGUCACAUUAAUCAUAAUAUAAGACUCAAGGGCAUGCUCGACACCAACGUAUAGAUACUCAUCAUCAUGCCUAUAUAUCGUACUCAACAAUUAACACGUAACAAAUAGGACACGACUCCUAACUGUCACACCCCUUUCUUUUAACAAACUUCACUAAACCCUUUUAAAUUAAUAGAAAGAUUUGGUAAAGCUCAAAAGGGUUUUCAAUUAGAAAGUGACAAAAUUUUGUUCAAAAGGAAGUAACUCAGAAUCGACACCUGACAAUUUAUUUUGGUGUGUCAGGUCACCGUUUUUAAAAAUUAUUUUUCCUUUUAAAAUAUUUUAGACUCUAAAACCAAAUCUGCACCAGAGAUUUGGGUAAGGAAUUUCGAUGUUAGGCAUUUUCCAUGUCCCGUAACUAGUACGGUUGCGCACUUGAUCUAAUCGGUUUUUAAAAUAUCCAAGUUGGGGUAAAAAUAACAAAGAAAAUAAAAAAAAAUAAACACACAAAAGGUUCGAGGUCGUCCCUACCUAAUAAAAGAAAAUGAAAAGGAAAAGGAAAGAGAAGUCCUAAGCUAACCUAUACCACGACUUCUCCACCAUGCUCGUCAAGGUCUCCAAAAUAUUUACAUAGUUCUUCGGGAUAUACCCCGGAUAAUAAUAUUUACAAACUUCACAGGGCAUUCCCCGGAUAAAUUUAAUUAACGGGUAACCUAUCACCUUAAAACUAACAAAAUAUCUGAGACUUGCCUACUCAAACGUGAUCGGCCUAAGCAUACUCCUAAUGAAUACUAACAUCGAUAAAAAAGAUAAAAGGAACUAUGAAAGAACUAAGUAAAGGAACAAUUCAACUCAUGUCCAUGUCUUGUUUAUUAACUUUUAUUUUAUUAGACCGAGUCCAAUAUUUAAAGCAUGGAGAUAAAACAAUUACUAAUGAGCUUCGAUCUUUUCCCACUCCCCCGCGGUUCAAAAAAAGAUUUGUAGAGAAGAGAGAGAUUUUGUUACCUUUUGAUUUACCAGAAGCGGAAGAAGAAUUAGUAGCAUCGGGCAAGAUAUGCACCUCUUCAGGAAUGAAAAAAAAUCUAUCUACUUUCAUUUGGUAUUUUGGUCUAUGGUUGAAUAAUUGAAAAAUGAGAUUAUUCAGGAAUACACAUUGAAUGCUGAGAUUACGCAUUGAAUUUCUGGUAGUAGAUCCAUAAUCAAAAAAGUAUUAAUAUGGAAAUUCUAUUAUUUUCUAAAAUUAUUCAUUCAAAGAUUAUACAUCGAUCUAUUUUUAUCUAUCAUUAAUAUUCCCAGAAUUAAUACAAAACUCUUUCGGCAUACAAAAUGCCAAUCAAGUAAGGAAGAACGAAUUCCAAAUCACACCAGCAAAAGAGCAUAUGGAUUGACAACGAAAUAAAGGCAUGGUGGAUUAAAAUAUUAUAAGAGCCAUAUAAAUCUAGCCAACCCGCCUCACCUUUUCACUUUUCUGUAUUUUGUUAUAUCACAACAUGAACGACCAGUGGCUUAAACAUUCAAAUUGGUCACCUUAGAGUUAGAAAACAAAGACAUCUUUAACCAAAUAGUAACGACAGAUACUGCAGGAAUACUAAGUGAUGCUCACACCAAAUAAUAUGUCAUUUUCAUAAUUAACUUAACAUUUUCGGACCAAGCAGGGUGCAAACCAAUCUUAACAGCGUUUAACACAAAUGUCCUGAACCUAAACCCUGUGAAUAUUGUGAGAUUAACAUAAGCAUACAAGCCAAGAAAAUAUGUCAAUUCGGUCACUGUUAGUUCAAACUUUCAUGCUUAACUUCACAAGGAUUAACGUUUUCCUUUAUCACUUAAGCGCAAGGAUAUCAAGGCACACAAACAGAGCAUCAAUUUCAGUUCUUAAUGUGCAACCAAGUUAGCAAAUGCCGUAAUUCUCAUUCAGAUCUCAAACCAAAACUAUCAUGAAUUCGAUCUGCUUACCCGUAACAAAGUAGAUCAAAAACUCAAUUGGAGACCAGAUUUGAAAAUGUCGAAAAGAUAUCCAUAAGAACGCGUAAUAAACUCAUUCACAAGCUGAACAAACCACCAGAAAGCAAUUAAAUAAAAAACAAAUAGCCACAAUCUCUACGAAUCCAUAUUAAUAAUUUCUGAGGAUCGAUCCAAAAUAAGUAGGUCAAGGCAAAUAGGGAAUGAACCUGUUUGGGGCGAAUUUUCCUUAAAUAACAGAAGGAGAUUCAGUGAUAAUUCAACUUCAAUUUCCAGAAUUCAAACGAGAUACAGCUUCGAAAUCGGACAAAAAUCUCAAACAGGAACUCGAAACGGCACUGGAAUCUCGAAUGCGAAGACUGACUCCAACUCGUACUUCAGUCCAUUUAUAUGUUGUAGCUGAGAUUGAAAUCGAGGGAAGCAACAGAUUUUAUUUUUUUUAAUAUGUUGGAAACGAAAACAGAAAUCCAAAGAAGAAUCUGGAAAUCCCAAAAUUAAACCCUAGAACCCCUUCCUUCCGAUUUUUCUCAAAAUUUCUCCCCUAUUUUUUUUGUCCAGUCCCCAAAAUCUGAGAAACCGCCCCAAUAUACGGGGUCUCGAACCUUCUAUACUUCCUCACCAAAAAAUUGAUUUUUUAUUUCCAAAUCCGAAAAAAA